rnacentral:rRNA from 1 species
GAUGAACGCUGGCGGCGUGCCUAAUACAUGCAAGUCGAGCGAACAGACGAGGAGCUUGCUCCUCUGACGUUAGCGGCGGACGGGUGAGUAACACGUGGAUAACCUACCUAUAAGACUGGGAUAACUUCGGGAAACCGGAGCUAAUACCGGAUAACAUGUUGAACCGCAUGGUUCAACAGUGAAAGACGGUUUUGCUGUCACUUAUAGAUGGAUCCGCGUCGCAUUAGCUAGUUGGUAAGGUAACGGCUUACCAAGGCAACGAUGCGUAGCCGACCUGAGAGGGUGAUCGGCCACACUGGAACUGAGACACGGUCCAGACUCCUACGGGAGGCAGCAGUAGGGAAUCUUCCGCAAUGGGCGAAAGCCUGACGGAGCAACGCCGCGUGAGUGAAGAAGGUCUUCGGAUCGUAAAACUCUGUUAUUAGGGAAGAACAAAUGUGUAAGUAACUAUGCACGUCUUGACGGUACCUAAUAAGAAAGCCACGGCUAACUACGUG